rnacentral:rRNA from 1 species
UACAGAGGUCUCAAGCGUUGUUCGGAUUCAUUGGGCGUAAAGGGUGCGUAGGUGGCGCCAUAAGUCGGGGGUGAAAUUUCGGAGCCUAACUCCGAAACUGCAUUCGAUACUGUGGUGCUUGAGGACUGGAGAGGAGACUGGAAUUCACGGUGUAGCGGUGAAAUGCGUAGAGAUCGUGAGGAAGACCAGUGGCGAAGGCGGGUCUCUGGACAGUUCCUGACACUGAGGCGCGAAGGCGAGGGGAGCAAACGGG